rnacentral:rRNA from 1 species
UUCAGCCCCGCGGCAAACAGCUCANUAACACGUGGCCAAACUACCCUACGGAUCGGGACAACCUCGGGAAANUGAGGCUAAUCCUGAAUAACGGCUCCNCGCUGGAAUGCGGGAGCCGUGAAACGCUCCGGCGCCGUAGGACGUGGCUGCGGCCGAUUAGGUAGACGGUGGGGUAACGGCCCACCGUGCCGAUAAUCGGUACGGGUCAUGAGANUGAGAGCCCGGAGAUGGAUUCUGAGACAAGAAUCCAGGCCCUACGGGGCGCAUCAGGCGCGAAACCUUUACACUGCACGCCAGUGCGAUAGGGGGACCCCAAGUGCGAGGGCAUUCAGUCCUCGCUUUUGUACACCGUAAGGGNGGNGUACGAAUAAAAACUGGGCAAGACCGGGUGCCANCCNCCCGC